AACGCGAAGAACCUUACCAAGGCUUGACAUGAACCGGUAAUACCUGGAAACAGGUGCCCCGCUUGCGGUCGGUUUACAGGUGGUGCAUGGUUGUCGUCAGCUCGUGUCGUGAGAUGUUGGGUUAAGUCCCGCAACGAGCGCAACCCUCGUUCUAUGUUGCCAGCGGUUCGGCCGGGGACUCAUAGGAGACUGCCGGGGUCAACUCGGAGGAAGGUGGGGACGACGUCAAAUCAUCAUGCCCCUUAUGUCUUGGGCUUCACGCAUGCUACAAUGGCCGGUACAAAGGGUUGCGAUACUGUGAGGUGGAGCUAAUCCCAAAAACCCGGUCUCAGUUCGGAUUGGGGUCUGCAACUCGACCCCAUGAAGUCGGAGUCGCUAGUAAUCGCAGAUCAGAAACGC
rnacentral:rRNA from 1 species